rnacentral:rRNA from 1 species
ACGAACGUUGGCGGCGUGCUUAAUACAUGCAAGUCAACUGAAGCAGUGGUAGCAAUCUCGCUGUGGAGGUGGCGCACGGGUGAGUAACACGUAGGUAAUCUGCCUUCAGGUCUGGCAUAACUCCGGGAAACCGGGGCUAAUAGCAGAUGAUGCAGCGGCUCGACAUCGAGACAGUUGUUAAAGCUAUGGCGCCUGAAGAUGAGCCUGCGUCUGAUUAGCUAGUUGGCGGGGUAACGGCCCACCAAGGCAACGAUCAGUAGCUGGUCUGAGAGGAUGAUCAGCCACACUGGAACUGAGACACGGUCCAGACUCCUACGGGAGGCAGCAGUAAGGAAUAUUGCUCAAUGGGAGAAAUCCUGAAGCAGCAACGCCGCGUGAGGGACGAAGGGCUUUUGCUUGUAAACCUCUGUAGUGAGAGAAAAAAAUCCCAAUCUCUGGGACAUGAUGGUAUCUCAAAAGUAAGCCCCGGCUAACUACGUG